GACGAACGCUGGCGGCGUGCCUAAUACAUGCAAGUAGAACGCUGAAGGAGGAGCUUGCUUCUCUGGAUGAGUUGCGAACGGGUGAGUAACGCGUAGGUAACCUGCCUGGUAGCGGGGGAUAACUAUUGGAAACGAUAGCUAAUACCGCAUAAGAGUAGAUGUUGCAUGACAUUUGCUUAAAAGGUGCAAUUGCAUCACUACCAGAUGGACCUGCGUUGUAUUAGCUAGUUGGUGGGGUAACGGCUCACCAAGGCGACGAUACAUAGCCGACCUGAGAGGGUGAUCGGCCACACUGAGACUGAGACACGGCCCAGACUCCUACGGGAGGCAGCAGUAGGGAAUCGUCGGCCAUGGACGGAAGUCUGACCGAGCAACGCCGCGGGAGUGAAGAAGGGUGUCGGAUCGUAAAGCUCUGUUGUAAGAGAAGAACGAGUGUGAGAGUGGAAAGUUCACACUGUGACGGUAUCUUACCAGAAAGGGACGGCUAACUACGUG
rnacentral:rRNA from 1 species